rnacentral:rRNA from 1 species
UAGGGAAUCUUCCACAAUGGACGCAAGUCUGAUGGAGCAACGCCGCGUGAGUGAAGAAGGCUUUCGGGUCGUAAAACUCUGUUAUUGAAGAAGAACGUGUGUGACAGUAACUGGUCAUGCAGUGACGGUAUUCAAUCAGAAAGUCACGGCUAACUACGUGCCAGCAGCCGCGGUAAUACGUAGGUGGCAAGCGUUGUCCGGAUUUAUUGGGCGUAAAGCGAGUGCAGGCGGUCUUUUAAGUCUGAUGUGAAAGCCUUCGGCUUAACCGAAGAAGGGCAUCGGAAACUGGGAGACUUGAGUGCAGAAGAGGAGAGUGGAACUCCAUGUGUAGCGGUGAAAUGCGUAGAUAUAUGGAAGAACACCAGUGGCGAAGGCGGCUCUCUGGUCUGUAACUGACGCUGAGGCUCGAAAGCGUGGGUAGCAAACAGGAUUAGAUACCCUGGUAGUCCACGCCGUAAACGGUGAAUACUAAGUGUUGGAGGGUUUCCGCCCUUCAGUGCUGCAGCUAACGCAUUAAGUAUUCCGCCUGGGGAGUACGACCGCAAGGUUGAA